rnacentral:rRNA from 1 species
AUGCCUGCGCCUUCUUUUAUGCGUCUGCGCGCUGCUCUCUCUCUCUCUCUCUCUCUCUCUCUCUUCAAGCCCAUGCAUUCAAUUCCAUCCAUCGAUCUGGGUGUAGAGUCUCGUCCGACGGAUUCCGAUCGAUCGGUCGAGAGUUCUGACGCCGCUACAGUGCCGGGCGGGGGGACUCAGGGCUGCUUGCUACAAGAGGCAGUGGCGACUGGGGAAUCGCCCAUGGAGGGCUCCCGGGGGCGGUGGAGGUGGGGUGGCAGGCGCAGAUCCAUGCUAAUGGUGGCGCUGGCCCUGUGCUUCGUCGUGGCCGUCGUCUCCCUCUGCUGCUGCGCCCGGCCCGGGGCUUGCAGUGCCAGUGCCUGCAGUGGGAGGAGUACUGUGGCGGUGCUCCGUUCAGACUUUUGGAGACGAACAGCAGAAUCGUUCGGUAAUCAGGACCGGUCAAGCGCCAGCGGGAGCGGAGGGCGGCGGCGGCUGCUGGUGGUGGCCGGACCGGGGUCGUACCCGCCGCGGUGCACGGGCAAGUGCGGCAGCUGCAGCCCGUGCUACCCGGUGCACGUGGCCGUGCCGCCGGGGGUGCCGGUCACCACGGAGUACUACCCGGAGGCAUGGCGGUGCAGGUGCGGCAACCGGCUCUACAUGCCAUGA